rnacentral:rRNA from 1 species
UAGGGAAUCUUCCGCAAUGGGCGAAAGCCUGACGGAGCAACGCCGCGUGAGUGAUGAAGGUCUUCGGAUCGUAAAACUCUGUUAUUAGGGAAGAACAAAUGUGUAAGUAACUAUGCACGUCUUGACGGUACCUAAUCAGAAAGCCACGGCUAACUACGUGCCAGCAGCCGCGGUAAUACGUAGGUGGCAAGCGUUAUCCGGAAUUAUUGGGCGUAAAGCGCGCGUAGGCGGUUUUUUAAGUCUGAUGUGAAAGCCCACGGCUCAACCGGGGAGGGUCAUUGGAAACUGGAAAACUUGAGUGCAGAAGAGGAAAGUGGAAUUCCAUGUGUAGCGGUGAAAUGCGCAGAGAUAUGGAGGAACACCAGUGGCGAAGGCGACUUUCUGGUCUGUAACUGACGCUGAUGGGCGAAAGCGGGGGGAUCAAACAGG